UACGUAGGUGGCAAGCGUUAUCCGGAAUUAUUGGGCGUAAAGAGCGCGCAGGCGGUCGUGCAAGUCGCGUGUGAAAGCCCCCGGCUCAACUGGGGAGGGUCACGCGAUACUGAUCGACUCGAAGGCAGGAGAGGGUAGUGGAAUUCCCGGUGUAGUGGUGAAAUGCGUAGAUAUCGGGAGGAACACCAGUGGCGAAGGCGACUACCUGGGCUGUUUCUUGACGCUGAGGCGCGAAAGCUAGGGGAGCAAACGGG
rnacentral:rRNA from 1 species